UUUAAAUUUAGAGUUUGAUCCUGGCUCAGGACGAACGCUGGCGGCGUGCUUAACACAUGCAAGUCGAGCGAUGAAGCUUUCUUCGGGAAGUGGAUUAGCGGCGGACGGGUGAGUAACACGUGGGUAACCUGCCUCAAAGUGGGGGAUAGCCUUCCGAAAGGAAGAUUAAUACCGCAUAAUAUAGGAGAAUCGCAUGAUUUUCUUAUCAAAGAUUUAUUGCUUUGAGAUGGACCCGCGGCGCAUUAGCUAGUUGGUAAGGUAACGGCUUACCAAGGCAACGAUGCGUAGCCGACCUGAGAGGGUGAUCGGCC
rnacentral:rRNA from 1 species